rnacentral:rRNA from 1 species
UACGGGGGGGGCAAGCGUUGUUCGGAAUUACUGGGCGUAAAGGGCGCGUAGGCGGUUCGCUAAGUUGGAUGUGAAAACUCUGGGCUCAACCCAGAGCCUGCAUCCAAAACUGGCGGGCUAGAGUUCUGGAGGGGGUAGCGGAAUUCCUGGUGUAGCGGUGGAAUGCGCAGAUAUCAGGAGGAACACCGGUGGCGAAGGCGGGUCUCUGGGCCGACAUUGACGCUGAGGAGCGAAAGCGUGGGGAGCGAACAGG